rnacentral:rRNA from 1 species
AUUGAACGCUGGCGGCAUGCCUUACACAUGCAAGUCGAACGGUAGCGGGCCUUCGGGUGCCGACGAGUGGCGAACGGGUGAGUAAUGUAUCGGAACGUACCUUUCAGUGGGGGAUAACGUAGCGAAAGUUGCGCUAAUACCGCAUAUUCUGUGAGCAGGAAAGCAGGGAAUCGCAAGACCUUGCGCUGAUUGAGCGGCCGAUAUCAGAUUAGCUAGUUGGUGAGGUAAAGGCUCACCAAGGCGACGAUCUGUAGCGGGUCUGAGAGGAUGAUCCGCCACACUGGAACUGAGACACGGUCCAGACUCCUACGGGAGGCAGCAGUGGGGAAUUUUGGACAAUGGGGGCAACCCUGAUCCAGCCAUGCCGCGUGAGUGAAGAAGGCCUUCGGGUUGUAAAGCUCUUUCGGCCGGGAAGAAAUCGUAUCAGCUAAUACCUGGUGCGGAUGACGGUACCGGCAUAAGAAGCACCGGCUAACUACGUGCCAGCAGCCGCGGUAAGAC